CAUAAAUUACAUGUACAAAAAAACUCGAGAAUAUUCAAAACAUAUAAAUGAUCUAAAUCUUUAAAAUAUGUUUCGAGAGUUUUGAGAUUACUCCGAUUCCAAAAAUUUCCAAAAUUAAAAAUAUUAGUCCAAUCUGAUCCGAUUCUCAAAUUUUAAAACAAAAAUUAAAAAAAAUUGUUUCCGAUCGGAUCCGCCCGAAAAUCACCCCUACCCAAAACAAAAUAAUAGUACAUAAGAUUAUAUCUUUUUUUUUAAUGGGCUACUCAUUAAUAAACCCUCGACUAGUCAAAAACCCUAGGUACUGGAGGAACACUAUGGUGAGGCGGAAGAGGGAGCAGUCGGAGUCGCAGUCCCAGAAUUUAUCCACUAGGAUGGUGAAGCGGAAGUUGGAAGACGAAUCGACAACAACCGAAGAGAAAACAGAAGAUGAUGUCACGCAUAAUGCCAUUAUACCGUCCCCGCCGAAUGUUGAGGUCCGGGCAACUUUUAUUGUAGACAAUGCCUCUCUGAGAAAGGGUGUCGUUCGAAAGAGGUGGGAUAAGAUUCUAGAUUCAGAGGAAGACGCGGAUUUCCUCAAACAAAAGAAAGAUGUGAAUGAUUAUAGGCCUGGGAGUUGUCUACCCGGCUCUUCGUUCAAUUUUUGAUAGCAAACUUAAUAAAGCUGGUAUGGUAGGAGCUGUGUAUGUAAAAACAGAUAAUGGAGUGUUAUUUGAGAUUAAACCCCAUGUCCGUAUACCAACUACCAAAGAACGUGUAGGCGCUUUUGUGGAGUCAUGCUGGAGUUACUAGAUAAAAAAUGCAUACGGACCAAAGAUACAAAUGAAAUUCUUAUGCGCGUCAUUGCGGAACCUGUAACCCGACAUUUACCAGUCAACUCUCGUGUAGUAGGUCUCUCUUAUAGUUCAUAAAAACUGGUUGAUAUUGAUGACUAUGUUAAUUCUGCCAGUGAUGAAUUGAAUCUUGUUUUUGUGGUAUGUUUGAGAUUCUAAAUUCCAGUUCAUAGGUCUCUGCUUCAUGAUCCGUUUUGUAUUUGAAAUUUUAAACACUUUUCAUAUUUUUUCCAGUUGAAGAUUAGUGAAAGAAUGGAAAACUGUUAUUACA